rnacentral:rRNA from 1 species
AUUGAACGCUGGCGGCAGGCCUAACACAUGCAAGUCGAACGAGUGGCGGACGGGUAAGUAAUGUCUGGGAAACUGCCCGAUGGAGGGGGAUAACUACUGGCAACGGUAGCUAAUACCGCAUACCAUCGGAUGUGCCCAGAUGGGAUUGGCUAGUAGGUGGGGUAACGGCUCACCUAGGCGCCGAUCCCUAGCUGGUCUGAGAGGAUGACCGGCCACACUGGAACUGAGACACGGUCCAGACUCGUACGGGAGUCAGCAGUGGGGAAUAUUGAAUAAGGGGCGCAAGCCUGAUGCAGCCAUGCCGCGUGUAUGAAGAAGGCCUUCGGGUUGUAAAGUACUUUCAGCGAGGAGGCGUUACUCGCAGAAGAAGCACCGGCUAACUCCGUGCCAGCAGCCGCGGUAAUAC